rnacentral:rRNA from 1 species
GAUGAACGCUGGCGGCGUGCCUAAUACAUGCAAGUCGAGCGAACGGACGAGAAGCUUGCUUCUCUGAUGUUAGCGGCGGACGGGUGAGUAACACGUGGAUAACCUACCUAUAAGACUGGGAUAACUUCGGAAAACCGGAGCUAAUACCGGAUAAUAUUUUGAACCGCAUGGUUCAAAAGUGAAAGACGGUCUUGCUGUCACUUAUAGAUGGAUCCGCGCUGCAUUAGCUAGUUGGUAAGGUAACGGCUUACCAAGGCAACGAUGCAUAGCCGACCUGAGAGGGUGAUCGGCCACACUGGAACUGAGACACGGUCCAGACUCCUACGGGAGGCAGCAGUAGGGAAUCUUCCGCAAUGGGCGAAAGCCUGACGGAGCAACGCCGCGUGAGUGAUGAAGGUCUUCGGAUCGUAAAACUCUGUUAUUAGGGAAGAACAUAUGUGUAAGUAACUGUGCACAUCUUGACGGUACCUAAUCAGAAAGCCACGGCUAACUACGUGCCAGCAGCCGCGGUAAUACGUAGGUGGCAAGCGUUAUCCGGAAUUAUUGGGCGUAAAGCGCGCGUAGGCGGUUUUUUAAGUCUGAUGUGAAAGCCCACGGCUCAACCGUGGAGGGUCAUUGGAAACUGGAAAACUUGAGUGCAGAAGAGGAAAGUGGAAUUCCAUGUGUAGCGGUGAAAUGCGCAGAGAUAUGGAGGAACACCAGUGGCGAAGGCGACUUUCUGGUCUGUAACUGACGCUGAUGUGCGAAAGCGUGGGGAUCAAACAGGAUUAGAUACCCUGGUAGUCCACGCCGUAAACGAUGAGUGCUAAGUGUUAGGGGGUUUCCGCCCCUUAGUGCUGCAGCUAACGCAUUAAGCACUCCGCCUGGGGAGUACGACCGCAAGGUUGAAACUCAAAGGAAUUGACGGGGACCCGCACAAGCGGUGGAGCAUGUGGUUUAAUUCGAAGCAACGCGAAGAACCUUACCAAAUCUUGACAUCCUUUGACAACUCUAGAGAUAGAGCCUUCCCCUUCGGGGGACAAAGUGACAGGUGGUGCAUGGUUGUCGUCAGCUCGUGUCGUGAGAUGUUGGGUUAAGUCCCGCAACGAGCGCAACCCUUAAGCUUAGUUGCCAUCAUUAAGUUGGGCACUCUAAGUUGACUGCCGGUGACAAACCGGAGGAAGGUGGGGAUGACGUCAAAUCAUCAUGCCCCUUAUAAUUUGGGCUACACACGUGCUACAAUGGACAAUACAAAGGGCAGCGAAACCGCGAGGUCAAGCAAAUCCCAUAAAGUUGUUCUCAGUUCGGAUUGUAGUCUGCAACUCGACUACAUGAAGCUGGAAUCGCUAGUAAUCGUAGAUCAGCAUGCUACGGUGAAUACGUUCCCGGGUCU